UUUAUUACAACUCAACCCAAGCAAAGACGUCCAACUGGGACACUUCAGAAUGGAAAAGCUGCCGAUUUAGUUCCCCAACCACCACAAACGUCUGAAUCAACUCCAAACUUGACACCACAAGAAAAAA